GGGAGUGGGAGGCCUGUGGACCAAGUGGAAGAGGAGUGUAGGGGGGCAUUCACUCCCGCUGUGCCUGAGUUCCACCGCAGGCCCAGGGCCAGAGCCCGGGAGGUGGGAGGGCAGGGGUCCUCCGAGGAGCUGCCGGCCCACGAUCGCCCCGGGGGCAGGCGGGAGGGAGGGAGGGAGGAGAGGCGGGGCCAGGGCUGGAGGGCGGCGCUUGCGGGGACCGGGCUGCUCCGGGCCCUGGGGACCCCUGCGCUUCGCUCACUCCUCCCCCGCCGGGGCUCCGCGGGCCAGCGCUGCGGCCGCCAGGGUGCGCCCCCCCGCCCCGCCCCGCCCCGCCGCCGUCCCCGGCCCGCUCCGCCCGAGCCCCCCCUCGCCGCGCUGCGCGCUCCGCCCGAGCCGCCGCCGCCGCCGCCGCGUGCUCCCGCUGUCUCCUCGCUCCAGCCGAGCGAGCCGGAGGAGCCGGGGAGAGGGAGAGAGCGAAAGGGGGAGGAGAGAGGGAGAAGGAGGGCGGGAGGGAGGGGAGCAGAGGGAGAGGAGGCGGCGGCGAGCAGGAGCGAGCGCGGAGCGCCGAGCCGCGGGGCAGCUCCGGAGCCGGGAGCCUCCUCGGACAGCCGCCCGCCCCGGCCCGGCCCGGCCCCGCUCCAGCGCCCGCCCGCUCGGAGGACACGCGGCCGCCGCCGCCGAGCCCGGCCCGCGCCCCUCGCCGCCCGCUCCGCUGCCCGCUCGGGGCCGGGAUGCAGCCGGGGCAUGGCCGCCGGGCCCCCGUCACCUGCCGCGGGGAGCGCUGAGCCCCCCUGGGGCCUUGAGAGUCGCCAUAGCUACUUACUUGCUUGGCCUUUUGCCGCUUACCUUUACUAUUCUGUGAAGAAGGAGGUGGGACCAGCCCCUCCCCGGGGCAGCUGGAGGCCAGUCUGCACUGGGGUGAGUCCUGUGUCCCAGAAAACCCCUGGGCAGGGGCCCCGGUUCUGUCCUGUGGGUGGUGGCUGGUGUUUCCUCCUGCAGAGUAGGAGCAAACAUGUGCUUGCAAUCCCGGCCAAGCUGGGACAUGACCUCUCAUUUAAGGCGAUAAAGGGCAGCCGGCCAGUGGUGAGGCUGGCUCUCGCCCGGGUGCCCCAAGGCCUGGCAGUGCAGGGCAGCUCGCCUGGGAUUGGGGGGGGGAGCACAGGGCUGCUCAUCCCUGCCUCGAUCUGCUCCCAGGGACCCCAUGGCCUACGCUCCCCCAUCGAAGUGAGCGCCGCAGCUGUGCACCGCGCAGCAAAGUGAAAAUAACCUCUCUUGUGGGGGCCUGCGC
rnacentral:lncRNA from 1 species